UUUAUCAUAUUCGUGGAAAUUUCAGACAGACCGAUCCUAUUCAGAAUUGACAUUACUGAGGGAACUGGCGAAUUGGCGAAUCUGACCGGUGCACAGUCGGGGUACCGAGUAAUCCAUUAGGAUAACGACGCCAUGAUACCGGCUGAUAGAGUCCCAGGCAUGUGGGAAUGAGCAUUAUGUUCACUCUGGACGACCAAAAAAUUUUAUAGGACAAAUGAAAGCUACUUUCCUGUUGUAACAAAAGAAUAUUACAAGUCGAACUGCAAAGAUCCGAAAUACGUUCCAUUUCCUGAAGAAUGUUGG
rnacentral:lncRNA from 1 species